UAGGGAAUCUUCGGCAAUGGACGAAAGUCUGACCGAGCAACGCCGCGUGAGUGUAGAAGGGUUUCGGAUCGUAAAACCCUGUUGUUAGAGAAGAACAAGGACGUUAGUAACUGAACGUCCCCUGACGGUAUCUAACCAGAAAGCCACGGCUAACUACGUGCCAGCAGCCGCGGUAAUACGUAGGUGGCAAGCGUUGUCCGGAUUUAUUGGGCGUAAAGCGAGCGCAGGCGGUUUCUUACGUCUGAUGUGAAAGCCCCCGGCUCAACCGGGGAGGGUCAUUGGAAACUGGGAGACUUGAGUGCAGAAGAGGAGAGUGGAAUUCCAUGUGUAGCGGUGAAAUGCGUAGAUAUAUGGAGGAACACAAGGGGCGAAGGCGGCUCUCUGGCCUGUAACUGACGCUGAGGGUCGAAAGCGUGGGGAGCAAACAGG
rnacentral:rRNA from 1 species